rnacentral:rRNA from 1 species
AUUGAACGCUGGCGGCAGGCCUAACACAUGCAAGUCGAGCGGCAGCGGGAAAGUAGCUUGCUACUUUUGCCGGCGAGCGGCGGACGGGUGAGUAAUGCCUGGGAAAUUACCCAGUCGAGGGGGAUAACAGUUGGAAACGACUGCUAAUACCGCAUACACGCUACGGGGGAAAGCAGGGGACCUUCGGGCCUUGCGCGCUUGGAUAUGCCCCGGUGGGAUUAGCUAGUUGGUGAGGUAAUGGCUCACCAAGGCGACGAUCCCUAGCUGGUCGGGGAGGAUGAUCAGCCACACUGGAACUGAGACACGGUCCAGACUCCUACGGGAGGCAGCAGUGGGGAAUAUUGCACAAUGGGGGAAACCCUGAUGCAGCCAUGCCGCGUGUGUGAAGAGGGCCUUCGGGUUGUAAAGCACUUUCAGCGAGGAGGAAAGGUCAGUAGCUAAUAUCUGCUGGCUGUGACGUUACUCGCAGAAGAAGCACCGGCUAACUCCGUGCCAGCAGCCGCAGUAACAC